GAUGAACGCUAGCUACAGGCUUAACACAUGCAAGUCGAGGGGCAGCGGGAUUGAAGCUUGCUCCAAUUGCCGGCGACCGGCGCACGGGUGAGUAACGCGUAUCCAACCUUCCGUACACUCAGGGAUAGCCUUUCGAAAGAAAGAUUAAUACCUGAUGGUAUGAUGAGAUCGCAUGGUAUCAUCAUUAAAGAUUUAUCGGUGUACGAUGGGGAUGCGUCCCAUUAGGUAGUAGGCGGGGUAACGGCCCACCUAGCCUACGAUGGAUAGGGGUUCUGAGAGGAAGGUCCCCCACAUUGGAACUGAGACACGGUCCAAACUCCUACGGGAGGCAGCAGUGAGGAAUAUUGGUCAAUGGACGAGAGUCUGAGCCAGCCAAGUAGCGUGCAGGAUGACGGCCCUAUGGGUUGUAAACUGCUUUUANAAGGAUAAACCUCCCACGUGUGGGAGCUUGUAUGUACCUUAUGAAUAAGCAUCGGCUAACUCCGUG
rnacentral:rRNA from 1 species